rnacentral:tRNA from 1 species
GUAGAUAUAGUUUAAAAAAAAACAUUAGAUUGUGAUUCUAAAAAUAGAAGUGAAAAUCCUCUUAUCCACC